rnacentral:misc_RNA from 1 species
CGUUUUAGAAAUGCAGUCGCGCACGAGCGUCGUGGCACCAUUUAGCGUUGCGUGAAAUGCUCAACUAAAAUUGUGUCUUACGUUUCUUUCUUAACUACGUUAACGUAAUAAUACAGACGCGAUUGACUUCUAUCGAAAUUACGAAAUUUUUAUGACAAAUUUCAACGGAAGAAUCAACGGAAACUUAAAAAUGAAAAAACUCACGGCUCAAUUAGGAAUGGGAAGGAAUUAGCUCGUCGAAGUGAACAAAGUAUCGAUUAUGAUUCAAUAAUUCUUUACCAUCUGCCAAUAGUAAGAAUGCAAUCCAGCGGCCGAACAACGCUGGGCUCCGGUACAGAAACAGAGCAGGGGGAUUGUCCAGCUUCGAAUCAAACGGAAUUACGUGCAUUCGUUUCAUCUGAUCGUAAACAGUUACGUGUUAACAAACGCAUGUUUGUCGGAAGCGGCGGAAGAGAAAAAGAUAAAGAUGAAAGGAGGGAUCCGGAGAAUCGAUAGAUAGUUGAGCCAAUUGAACAAAGAAAUGAACGAUCGACGAAGAGAAUCGUUCGCGAGAAGGGAAAAAGUAAUGGAUUGAUAAAGCAAAGAUAGGAACGUUGGAAGGAAAAAUGAGGUAGAGAUAUAUCGUAUAAAUUAUUGCGAGCUGCUGCGUGACGAUUCAAUCGGGAUACGAUUAGAGUUUUCUUUUAAAUAAAUUUUUUACGCAGCGAUCGUUUCAAUCGGAAGUUAAAUAUACGGUCACGUUCGUUCAGGUCUUCGUAGACUUAAAAAAAGAGUCAUUUUUUAUUUAAAUAAAGAAUAUAUA